AUACGUAGGGUGCGAGCGUUGUCCGGAAUUACUGGGCGUAAAGAGCUCGUAGGUGGUUUGUCGCGUCGUCUGUGAAAUUCCGGGGCUUAACUCCGGGCGUGCAGGCGAUACGGGCAUAACUUGAGUACUGUAGGGGAGACUGGAAUUCCUGGUGUAGCGGUGAAAUGCGCAGAUAUCAGGAGGAACACCGGUGGCGAAGGCGGUGCUCUGGUAGGAAGCUGCAGCUGAGGAGCGAAAGCAUGGGUAGCGAACAGGAUUAGAUACCCUGGUAGCCCAGGUCGUAAACGGUGGGCGCUAGGUGUAGGGGUCUUCCGCGACUUCUGUGCCGUAGCUAAAGCAUUAAGCGCCCCGCCUGGGGAGUACGGCCGCAAGGCUAAAAAUCAAAGGAUGUGACGGG
rnacentral:rRNA from 1 species